AUUGAACGCUGGCGGCAUGCUUUACACAUGCCAGUCGAACGGCAGCGCGGGCUUCGGCCUGGCGGCGAGUGGCGAACGGGUGAGUAAUACAUCGGAACGUGCCCAGUAGUGGGGGAUAGCUCGGCGAAAGCCGGAUUAAUACCGCAUACGACCUGAGGGUGAAAGCGGGGGAUCUUCGGACCUCGCGCUAUUGGAGCGGCCGAUGGCAGAUUAGCUAGUUGGUGGGGUAAAGGCCUACCAAGGCGACGAUCUGUAGCUGGUCUGAGAGGACGACCAGCCACACUGGAACUGAGACACGGCCCAGACUCCUACGGGAGGCAGCAGUGGGGAAUUUUGGACAAUGGGCGAAAGCCUGAUCCAGCAAUGCCGCGUGUGUGAUGAAGGCCUUCGGGUUGUAAAGCACUUUUGGCGGGAACGAAAAGGACUGUGCCAAUACCACGGUUCGAUGACGGUACCCGCAGAAUAAGCACCGGCUAACUACGUG
rnacentral:rRNA from 1 species